rnacentral:SRP_RNA from 1 species
GGUGGGUCCCUUCGCAUGGACCGGCGAUGAAACUGGUCAGGUCGGGAACGAAGCAGCCAUAGUUGUUUAGGUUCAGUGCCGAAGUAAGGCUCACCCCC